rnacentral:rRNA from 1 species
GUACACGCUGUGACUAGCAUAUCAAUAAGCGGAGGAAAAGAAACUAACAAGGAUUCCCCUAGUAACGGCGAGUGAAGCGGGAAGAGCUCAAAUUUGAAAUCUUAAAGGGUUUCCCUUUACGAAUUGUAGUUUAAAGAAGUGUUUUCUGUUGAGGUUUUGGUAAAAGUUCUUUGGAAUAGGACAUCAUAGAGGGUGAGAAUCCCGUAUUUGACCUUUACUUUCAACUUUGUGAUACACUUUCAAAGAGUCGGAUUGUUUGGGAAUGCAGUCCAAAAUGGGUGGUAAAUUUCAUCUAAAGCUAAAUAUUGGCGAGAGACCGAUAGCGAACAAGUACCGUGAGGGAAAGAUGAAAAGAACUUUGAAAAGAGAGUUAAACAGUACGUGAAAUUGUCAAAAGGGAAGUGUUUGACACCAGUGUUGUUUUUCUGAAAAUCAAUUAAAGAACUGUUUAUGCUAAGCUGUUUAGACUUUAUCAGCUAUCUGUUUAGUUUUGAGCUUUUCUUUAAUGCACUUUUCAGUUAACAAGUCAACAUCAAUUUCUUUUGCUGUAAAAAAGCUUGAGGAAGGUGGCUUGAGAUUCGUCUUAAGUGUUUAUAGCCUCUUGCCUAUGCAGUCGGAGAGAUUGAGGUCUGCAGCGUAGAUCCUUCGGGGCUAAAUGCAUUUGUGCUAAGUUAUAGCAUUUCAUAGACAACUUGUUGACUAUGAUUUGUCUUGUAGCUUACUCGCUUAUGUUAUUUUACCUACGCUUAGGAUGUUGACGAGACUGUCGAUCUC